CUGCGGAAGGAUCAUUACCGAGUGAGGGCCCUCUGGGUCCAACCUCCCACCCGUGUCUAUCGUACCUUGUUGCUUCGGCGGGCCCGCCGUUUCGACGGCCGCCGGGGAGGCCUUGCGCCCCCGGGCCCGCGCCCGCCGAAGACCCCAACAUGAACGCUGUUCUGAAAGUAUGCAGUCUGAGUUGAUUAUCGUAAUCAGUUAAAACUUUCAACAACGGAUCUCUUGGUUCCGGCAUCGAUGAAGAACGCAGCGAAAUGCGAUAAGUAAUGUGAAUUGCAGAAUUCAGUGAAUCAUCGAGUCUUUGAACGCACAUUGCGCCCCCUGGUAUUCCGGGGGGCAUGCCUGUCCGAGCGUCAUUGCUGCCCUCAAGCACGGCUUGUGUGUUGGGCCCCCGUCCCCCUCUCCCGGGGGACGGGCCCGAAAGGCAGCGGCGGCACCGCGUCCGGUCCUCGAGCGUAUGGGGCUUUGUCACCUGCUCUGUAGGCCCGGCCGGCGCCAGCCGACACCCAACUUUAUUUUUCUAAGGUUGACCUCGGAUCAGGUAGGGAUACCCGCUGAACUUAAGCAUAUCAAUA
rnacentral:rRNA from 2 species